GACGAACGCUGGCGGCGUGCUUAACACAUGCAAGUCGAACGGAAAGGCCCUUCGGGGUACUCGAGUGGCGAACGGGUGAGUAACACGUGGGUGAUCUGCCCUGCACUUUGGGAUAAGCCUGGGAAACUGGGUCUAAUACCGGAUAGGACCACGCGCUUCAUGGUGUGUGGUGGAAAGCUUUUGCGGUGUGGGAUGGGCCCGCGGCCUAUCAGCUUGUUGGUGGGGUAAUGGCCUACCAAGGCGACGACGGGUAGCCGGCCUGAGAGGGUGACCGGCCACACUGGGACUGAGAUACGGCCCAGACUCCUACGGGAGGCAGCAGUGGGGAAUAUUGCGCAAUGGGCGCAAGCCUGAUGCAGCGACGCCGCGUGAGGGAUGACGGCCUUCGGGUUGUAAACCUCUUUCGCCAGGGACGAAGCGCAAGUGACGGUACCUGGAGAAGAAGGACCGGCCAACUACGUGCCAGCCGCCGCGGUAAGAC
rnacentral:rRNA from 1 species